rnacentral:tRNA from 1 species
GGUGGGGUAGCCACCCGGUAAUAGGUAGACGUCUCCUUCAACAGUAACUUCGGACAGGGGUUCGAAUCCCCUCGCCUCCACCA